rnacentral:rRNA from 1 species
GAUGAACGCUGGCGGCGUGCCUAAUACAUGCAAGUCGAGCGAACGGACGAGAAGCUUGCUUCUCUGACGUUAGCGGCGGACGGGUGAGUAACACGUGUAUAACCUACCUAUAAGACUGGGAUAACUUCGGGAAACCGUAGCUAAUACCGGAUAAUAUUUUGAACCGCAUGGUUCAAAAGUGAAAGACGGCCUUGCUGUCACUUAUAGAUGGAUCCGCGCUGCAUUAGCUAGUUGGUAAGGUAACGGCUUACCACGGCGACGAUGCAUAGCCGACCUGAGAGGGUGGUCGGCCACACUGGAACUGAGACGCGGUCCAGACUCCUACGGGAGGCAGCAGUAGGGAAUCUUCCGCAAUGGGCGAAAGCCUGACGGAGCAGCGCCACGUGAGUGAUGGCAGUCUUCGGAUCGUAAAACUCUGUUAUUAGGGAAGAACAGAUGUGUAAGUAACUGUGCACAUCUUGACGGUACCUAAUCAGAAAGCCACGGCUAACUACGUG